AUUGAACGCUGGCGGCAGGCCUAACACAUGCAAGUCGAGCGCGUGGCGGACGGGUGAGUAAUGUCUGGGAAACUGCCUGAUGGAGGGGGAUAACUACUGGAAACGUUAGCUAAUACCGCAUACCAUCAGAUGUGCCCAGAUGGGAUUAGCUAGUAGGUCGGGUAACGGCUCACCUAGGCGACGAUCCCUAGCUGGGCUGAGAGGAUGACCAGCCACACUGGAACUGAGACACGGUCCAGACUCCUACGGGAGGCAGCAGUGGGGAAUAUUGCACAAUGGGCGAAAGCCUGAUGCAGCCAUGCCGCGUGUGUGAAGAAGGCCUUCGGGUUGUAAAGCACUUUCAGCGGGGAGGCGUUAACCGAAGAAGAAGCACCGGCUAACUCCGUGCCAACAGUCGCGGUAAUAC
rnacentral:rRNA from 1 species